CAUAAAUUAACCCUUAACAUAAAUUCCUAAACAGUAGGCUUAAACCUAAAUUAUAAAUUUUAAACCUUAAGCCAUUGAUGUCUAAUACACAAUUUUUAUACUAUAAAACAGAAAUCAAGACAACUAUAUGAACUGCAUGUGUUAUUAAUUUUUUUUCUAUAUUUUUUCUUAGAAGACGAAUAUUUAAGAUCAAAAGUGAAUUAUCUUUAUGUAUUUUAUUAUGAAAAAUUUCGUCCUUUAGGCAUGUGUCCUUUUGUUUUGUGGUGGCUCUAUUCUUCCGAUGAUUAUUCAUUCUCUGACUCAUUUUUUUGGUUUUUGUGCUGGUGCUUGAUCCCGAUCAUUUGUUCCGAGAAUUGUUUUGUUUCAUAUUUUAUCUUUUUAUUUUUUUCUGACAUCUACUAGUUCUAGCCAAGACAUUCUAUGGUAAGAUGAGGUAGGUUAGUCUUCUUUGUUGAUCUUUUUUUAGCUUCAAACCUUUAUUAAGUUAGUGUUACUAUGCUAAGAUGAGAUAGGUUAUGUUAUUAAAUAUGUAAAAUAUAUAUUUUUUUUCAUUUUUUUAUUUAUUCAUCUUGAAUUUUAGUAAACAAUAAAAUAAAUUAUCAAAUUUCAUACGAUAAUAGUUAGUGCGAAAAUGAUUAGAUAGUUCACGAUUAGAAAGUACUUGACCAAAUUGUAAUAAUCUAAAAGAAAAAGGACCUAGAAUGUAAAAAAAACAUGGAUGACAUGUGUCGCAAAAACUCCCUGCCACUUGUCAGAAGAAGGACAAAAAAACCAACUUUAUAUAUACAGAUUGCCAAAACAAAACAAAGAAUAAAGUAAAAAAAGAAUAAGCUUUUGUCGUUCAGUUAGAAGAAUAAACAUUUUCAACUAUCUCUUUCUUCAAUUUUCUUUUCAAGGAAAAUAAGAUCCGACUAUCAAUAUGGAGAAAUAUGCAGAGGAUCUAAUCAAAUGGUGUCUCACCGGAGUUAUCAGCUCGUAAAGGAGAAGCAUGUCGACACCCAGGAGUUGGCCGCCUUUCUUAACAGUUCUUGCUUCCCAGAAUCCGAGGAGACAGACCUCAGCGAUGUUUGAACAUCAUUCAGCUUUCAAAUCGGUGAGUAGAGUAAACGAAUUAGCCAUUGCUUGAUUUGAUUCUUCACAGAGAAAAACUCUUGGAAUUUCGUUUUGACAAUGAUAACAAUGUUUUUGGAUUCAGGAUUUUAAUUGGAUUCGGGAUUAGGGUUUCUAUGUGAUGAUAAAAGUCUUGGCUUUUCAGUGAUCCUAUGCGGCUGCGGCUUGAUCCCCAAUAAGGAAACGUCUAGUGGAAAAAUAUGCAGCAAUCAUUGAAGGAUGGAGCAAAACGAUUCAGUAGCUGAUGAAAAGGUUUCUAUUCUGGUUUUCAGUGAUCCUCUUAGUUUCCCCGCUUGCUUUAGUUAUAGGUGGAAAUAGUUCUGAUUGUGUAUCAUGAUGGCUUAUACUUGCAGUUGGGAAAUUGAGCGUUGAGACCCAGUGGUGUUCUCAGUUUUGACAGUCCUGUUCUUGCCCAUGAUUUGCUUCUUCUUUAUAGGGAGACCCAAUGGCGUUCUCAGUUUUGACGGUCCUGGUCCGUUGCAUUGUACCCAGUCUGUGUUGUACCGAGUAUUGGUCUUCAUCUAAAUUCCAUUUUAAUCUCCACAAAGGACUGUGAAAGUUGCUAUCCAAGAGAUGAGGUGACUUCAAGCUCUUGGGAUUCAAGUUGCUCACUAUCCUGGAAAUCAAGUGAUGCUCGCUUAUCCUGAACUCAUUGAUGCUGCAGUGAUCUCGUAAGUCUUUUGUACCUGAAACAAUUUUAAGUUAGCAUUUUGGUUUAGCUUGGUUGUGAUUUACGUCAUAAAGCCCAAAACGGUUUUGACGAGCAAACAUUGUUUUUUAGGAUUUGCAAGAAAAUGAAGCCAGGAUCAGAUCGUGCAGAAUUGGUUAAAACAGCAAAGUUAAUCGUAUGGAAUGAUAUUAUUAGAUCUUCUUAAGAAAAACCUUUUGCGGGUAAAGUUUUUGUUUUCGGUGGCGAUUUCAGACAGAUAUUUUCGGUUAUACCUGGAGGAGGUAGAGCAGAGACUGUUUUGGCGACUGAAUUGGUCAUAUCUUUGGGAGCACUGCAUAGUUUUAAAGCUAGCAAAAAACAUGAAAUUGCUUGCUGGUCUUGCUGAUGAUGCAGCAAAAGACCUCGAGUCUUUCUCAGAAUGGAUUUUGGAUAUUGGAGAUGGAAAAAUAAAUUUGCCUAACGACGGUCAAGUUGAGAUAGACAUCCCUUUGGAUAUGCUGAUAAAAAAAACAGUGGAGAAGAAGAUUCUACUGAAACUAUCGCAAAAGAGGUUUAUGGACAAUCUUUUCGGACGUCAACAUAUAAGGAUUUGUAUAGACAUCGUCGAGCCAUUACGAUUCCCACAAAUGAUGAACUGGAUAAAAUAAAUGAUUACAUGCUUUCACAGUUGCCAGGUAACAUGUUUUUUUCAUUAACUCUUUAUGUUCCACUAACUAUUUAUUGCAAGUAAAGAAAAUAAUUUUACAUAUGAUGCUUUCACGUGAAGAGAAGGUUUACCUUAGCUCUGACAGCAUUAUUCCAUCCGAUGUUGACAUAGAAGAAAAUGUGGUAUAUCCUACAUAGUUUUGAAUAGUGUUAAAGUCGCUGCAUUGCCUAGACACUGUUUAAAGCUCAAAGUUGGUGCUCCUAUCAUGUGUCUUCGUAACAUGGAUGCUGCAGAUGGCUUAUGUAAUGGUACUAAGCUAAUUGUUACUCA